GCAUGGAGCGCAUCUUCUUGUUUUCUAACACAAAAGGGAAAAUCUCCUUGUCCUUCAUAUAUUCUGACUUUUCUGGCGUUGGUGAGCAGUUUGUUGUGACACAUCUUUCAGAUAAAUACCUUUGCCUUUUGCAGCCCCCUCCAUUCCCAUAUAAUCACCUAUCUUGAUUGGUGUGGUUUUGACCAUCCUGCCAACGCCUUGAAGGUCGCAUUAGUGGAGAAUUCACUAUUCUCCAAAUGAAUCCAACCUAAUCUGGUAUUCGCAAUCCUUGGUGGGGGUGCGCUAAGAUCUUCUUGAUGAUUUCUUCAGGGGUCUCGCCUCUUCUACCCAAUAUCCGCCCAGAAUUUAGUGGAAAGUCCAUCCCCAAUAAGGAAGAAAGACAUUUCGUUGAAUCUAGGCCAUAACUUGACUAGCUCUCUCCACAUGCAUGAAUUUGAACUUUUAGUGCUUGGUAGAACAUUUUGGUUAUCUUUGUAUCUGUAUUUGUGCUGAAAGACUUUUAUUCAUAGAGGUUCUGGUUCCUGGUUUAGCUGCCAAAUGAGCUUAUAAAGGAAAGCUUCAUUCAUUAAGUUUAAGUUUCGGAACCCAAGGCCCCUCUCAUGUUUGGGGAGACAUAGAGUUUUUCAAUUUACUGCAUGGUAAUUUCUUUUCCUUUCAUCAUCUCCCCAAAUGAAACUUCUUUGAACUUUUUCUAUUUUCAUGCAUAUGGACUUGGGAAUUCUCUCGUGCUAUAUUUCAAAAUUUAGAUUUGGGCUUAUAAUAGAUUGUGCUAGAGUAGUCCUUUUCGCCUGUGAUAAGCACUUGCUUUUUCACCCUUUGAGUUUUUCUUGGACUCUCUCCAGAACUGUUUUAUAAUUCUCCUUGCCCUGUCUGUUGUUGUUUAGCAUGGCGCCUAAGUAUCUUCCAAUCUUCUUGCUCCCUUUAAAAUCUGUUUUGGCCAAAAUAUCUGCUUUGACAGCCGCACCAGUAUUCUUAUAUUAGAGAACACUAUAGAAGUUUUGGCUGCAUUAAAUUAAGACCCGAGGCUUUACAAAAGCUAUCUAGGCAGUCCUUAGUCAUUUUCAUUUGCACUUGAGUAGCUUCCGUAAAUAGGAGAAGAUCAUCCUUGAAAAGGAGG